ensembl:lncRNA ANKRD36BP2 ankyrin repeat domain 36B pseudogene 2
GUUGGGCGUUUCUGCUGAGAGGCGGGAGGGGCUGAGAGUCUGUGCGAAGGUAGGUGGACAGACUGCAUUGCUUGUUGUUGCGCUUCGGAGGCGGCGAUCCCCGAAGGCGAGCUGAAAUACGGCUGGAGCGUUCCCAGGCUACAGUUUGUAGCCGACGAUUGUGGAAGACUAGGAGCCGGAGAGGUGGCCCACCCUCAGGGAGCGCUUGUGCUCGGAGGGCUUCUCAUUUCCCCAAUACCACAUUAAAUCGUCUCAUCUGAGGAGGAUCCACAGAGCUGUCUUCUAUGGUAAUCUGGAGAAACUGGAGUACCUUCUGCUCACGUAUCAUGACACCAAUGAGAGAGACAAGGAGGAAAGCAUCCGGUGAAAGACAGAGAUCACAUUUCAACUAGAUUCUUAGGAAGUAUGGAUUCACUAACUUCAGCGAAGCUUACCCUGAAAGAAGCAGAUCCCAGUUCAAAAGUAGCCAUAAGAAGGAAGGAUUCACCACCUCCAGGAAAAGUGUCUUCUCAGAAACAACCAGCUGAGAAGGCUGCAAGUGACGAGAAAGAUUCUGUUUCGAAUAUAGCCACAGAAAUAAAGGAGGGACCAAUAUCUGGGACAGUGUCUUCUCAGAAACAACCAGCUGAGAAGGCUGCAAGUGACGAGAAAGAUUCUGUUUCAAAUAUAGCCACAGAAAUAAAGGAUGGACAACAAUCUGGGAGACAUAAUUUUGCAAAGCAGAUUUAAUGUCAUGUUCAGCCAAGAUAGACAAGAACUUCUCUUCCCCGAAUAAAUCAGCGGGGGACUCUUUGAAGCUGCACAUUCUGAUUCAGCAGGCCUGAGAUUCUACAUUUGUAUGUCUUCUCAGAAACAAUCGGCCUGGAAGGUUAUAUUUAAAAAGAAAGUUUCUCUUUUGAAUAUUGCCACAAGAAUAAUGGGUGGUCAGAAAUCUGGAACAGAGUAUCCUGAGAAUCUGCCCACCAUGAAGGCUACAGUUGAAAAUAAAGAUUCUGUUCUGAAUACAGCCACCAAAAUGAAGGAUGUACAAACAUCCACACCAGAAGAACAAGACUUAGAAAUGGCAUCAGAGGGAGAGCAAAAGAGGCUUGAAGAAUAUGAAAAUAACCAGCCACAGCAACUGGAUGAUGCUCGCAACAAAGCUGACAAUCAAGAAAAGGCAAUACUUAAUAUUCAAGCCAGAUGUGAUGCUAGAGUACAAAACCUUCAAGCUGAGUGCAGAAAGCGCCGUCUUUUACUAGAAGACAGUAAAAGGUUGGUAAAUGAAUUGAAUCAUUUGAAAGAAAAAGAACGCCAAUAUGAAAAAAAGCAAGCAGAAAGAGAACUUCAAGAAACACAGGAUCAACUUACAGCUACUAUAAGAUGUACUAAGGGGAUGGAAGGCGACGCACAAAAGCUUGAAGUAGAAAAUGCCAUGAUGAGAAAAACUAUUAAAAAACAGGAUGACCAAAUUGAGCGACUUGAGAAAAUCCUGCAGCGUUCAAGUUUGAUGCCACAGGUGUUCAAGAGCUAGAUGAAGAUAUCAACCUAUGAAUUGCCUCUACCAAAAAGCCUACAAUAUUGACACAAACCUGGGCUAGUAUCCCUUCUAUGUCUUCUAAUAAGUGCUGUCUUAUGCCUGUCACUGUAUGUAUGACUCUGUAUGGGAAUUGCCUGUUUGUUUUUUCAGAUUAUAGCAAACAGUUGUUGAGGGGUGGACCAUAUCAUCUUUAUCUUGUAAUUCCAGUGCUUGUCCUAGUACCUUAGCACAUGGUUGCUGAAUACAUGAAUGAAGAGUGAGAAACCAGAAGCUCUGAUAUUUAACUGCCGUGAUAAUGAAUUCAAUGUGCAACUAUGGGCAAAUUGUAUUUAAUAGUAAUUGCAUAUUGUACAUAUUUUUCAUUCUUAUUAACACUGAUAAACUUUUCAACUUAUACUGACUUUAAUAAAAUUGUAUUACUAGGCUAUUAACAUGAUAUUUUGUUUCCCAUUAAAUGUGACAUGCAAAGACGUUUAUUAAAUGAAAAUAUUUUUG